AUGCAACCAGCUGCGGCGCCGGCAAUGCCGUCCAUCCUGCUGCUCGCCCUGCUCGCGGCCACGGCCCUGGGCGCCGGAGCUGUGAGGACGCCGACGCUGGUGUUCAUCCUGGCGGGCCAGUCCAACAUGGGCGGCCGGGGCGGGGCGACGCUCAACAACCGCUGGGACGGCGUGGUGCCGCGGGAGUGCGCCCCCUCGCCGCGCACGCUCCGCCUCUCGCCGGCCCUGCGCUGGGAGGAGGCCCGGGAGCCGCUGCACUCCGGCAUCGACGUGGGCAACGUGCUGGGGGUCGGCCCGGGCAUUCCGUUCGCGCACGCGCUGCUGCGCGCCCCGGCCUGCCCCAAGGGCGCCGUCGUCGGCCUCGUCCCCAGCGCGCAGGGCGGCACCCCCAUCGCCAACUGGUCCCGCGGCUCCCACCUCUACGACCGGAUGCUCACCCGCGCCCGCGCCGCCGUCGCCGGGACCAAUGGCAAGGGGAGGGUCGCGGCCAUGCUCUGGUUCCAGGGCGAGACCGACACCAUCCGGCGCGAGGACGCGCUGGCCUACACGGGCAGGAUGGAGGCGCUUAUCCGUGAUGUCCGGCGAGACCUCGGCAUCCCAAACCUCCUCGUCAUCCAGGUCGGGAUCGCGACGGGGCAGGGCAAGUUCGUGGAUCUGGUGCGGAAGGCGCAGCGGGCGGUGCGGGCGCCCAACCUGAGGUACGUGGACGCCAUGGGCCUCCCCGUCGCCAACGACUUCACGCACCUCACCACGCCGGCGCAGGUCCGGCUGGGGAAGAUGCUCGCCGACGCCUACGUCGCCACGCUCCACUGA
rnacentral:rRNA from 1 species